rnacentral:rRNA from 1 species
ACGAAGGGUGCAAGCGUUACUCGGAAUUACUGGGCGUAAAGCGUGCGUAGGUGGUUCGUUAAGUCCGAUGUGAAAGCCCUGGGCUCAACCUGGGAAUGGCAUUGGAUACUGGCGGGCUAGAGUGCGGUAGAGGGUAGUGGAAUUCCCGGUGUAGCAGUGAAAUGCGUAGAGAUCGGGAGGAACAUCCGUGGCGAAGGCGACUACCUGGACCAGCACUGACACUGAGGCACGAAAGCGUGGGGAGCAAACAGGAUUAGAUACCCUGGUAGUCCACGCCCUAAACGAUGCGAACUGGAUGUUGGGCUCAACUUGGAGCUCAGUAUCGAAGCUAACGCGUUAAGUUCGCCGCCUGGGGAGUACGGUCGCAAGACUG